rnacentral:rRNA from 1 species
GACGAACGCUGGCGGCGUGCUUAACACAUGCAAGUCGAACGGAAAGGCCCUGCUUUUGUGGGGUGCUCGAGUGGCGAACGGGUGAGUAACACGUGAGUAACCUGCCCUUGACUUUGGGAUAACUUCAGGAAACUGGGGCUAAUACCGGAUAGGAGCUCCUGCUGCAUGGUGGGGGUUGGAAAGUUUCGGCGGUUUGGGAUGGACUCGCGGCUUAUCAGCUUGUUGGGGGGGUAGUGGCUUACCAAGGCUUUGACGGGUAGCCGGCCUGGGAGGGGGACCGGGCUCCAUGGGCCUACGGUACCCGCCCGUAGCCCACCGGGGGCAAGGGGGGGGAACUUUUCCGAGAGGGGCGGAGGGAUUGUGGAAGACCUCCGGGUGGGGAAACUCGGCUUUCGGGUAAGAACACGUUUGGCCCUAACAGGGCGCGUAGUGACGGUUAAUGGGUAAAAAGCCACGGCUAACUACGUG